rnacentral:misc_RNA from 1 species
CAACCAUCAAGCCCUAGGCUUGUGUUGGGGCCCUGCGGCCGUCCGCAGCCCCCGAAAAGCAGUGGCGGGCUCGCUGUCACACCGAGCGCAGUAAUACAUCUCGCUGGGAAGUGAUUGUGGGUUCCGGCCGUUAAACAUCCCAAUUUAUCAA